GGUGAAUGUGGUGGUAAGACAUGUUUGACGGUGCAACGUAUUACGCGUGUCAGUGCAAAAUGAGGAUGAGGAUGUUAAGUAAAUAUUUCACACGAAAAGCUCAUUAGAUUUCAGUACUUUCAGAGAUUUAAAAAAAAUAGUAUAUAUUGUUUAGAAAGUUUUGGGGAAGUUAUUAGGUGACCUCACUUGUUGCAGAGGCACCCACAUAGUGCAACAUGUUACAAUCUUCAACAAUCUACGAUCUCGUCUUCCACCAUGAUAAGAUUGAACGAGGAGUAACUGCUGCUUUAACACAGUUAAGGUAUGAACAGAUGUCUUCUUGGAGGGGCCAGGCCGAGGUUUGGCAGACAGUAACUGUACACCACCUCCAGCCUUGAAACGCUGCACCCAGUUCCUCACUGAACGCUCAAACUCACUAAUAUUCUCCACUAUUUCUUUCGUCUGGUCGCCUGCUUUGUGAAACCUUAUGAUUUAAGCUAUAGUUUCAGGUGUUAAAGACUUCCUUUUACCUAAAAUCAAAGAUGUAUAGCCCUAAAACCAAAGGGAAUACUGGAGAAAAGAUGGGACGGAUAAGAGACAAUAGUGUAACGCUUCCUCUCACCACAUGUGAAUUAUCAAAAACUUAAAUAAAUAUAAAACAAUUUUGUAAAGGAUUGUAGAAAAUUUGUACCAGAAUAUAA